rnacentral:rRNA from 1 species
UACGUAGGGGGCAAGCGUUAUCCGGAUUUACUGGGUGUAAAGGGGGCGCAGACGGCGAUGCAAGCCAGGAGUGAAAGCCCGGGGCCCAACCCCGGGACUGCUCUUGGAACUGCGUGGCUGGAGUGCAGGAGGGGCAGGCGGAAUUCCUGGUGUAGCGGUGAAAUGCGUAGAUAUCAGGAGGAACACCGGUGGCGAAGGCGGCCUGCUGGACCGUGACUGACGUUGAGGCUCGAGAGCGUGGGGAGCAAACAGG